GCUCUCGUAGCUCAGUUGGUAGAGCGCGGCACUAGUAUCGAUACAUGGUUUCUGAUCACGUGAUGUGGUAAUGCCGAGGUCUACGGUUCAACUCCGUACGGGAGCA
rfam:Pseudogymnoascus pannorum VKM F-4515 (FW-2607) contig_743, whole genome shotgun sequence.